CUUUAACCUCAAUAUGGCGUAAAGUGACCCCUUGCCGGAAAACGGUUGGAAAUGUCACUGGUGAUUUUGCGAACAUUUUGCAGAUUGAAAGCAUGCAAACAGACAUCAGUAACGUGUUACACACGAAGAUUUGCAUCAAGGAAAAAUGAUUCCACAGCUCUGGACGAAAGGAGAACAUCUUCACCUUCUGAUGUUGCACAGCAGCCACCAUACCAGUUUAUGACUGAAUUCUACAAUAAUCCAGAAAAAUUCUCGUAUGAGAAAACAUUUCCAGACCCACAAGCAGAUUCAUGGAAGUUUGAAAAACCAAUUUGCCUUACAUGCAUAACUGUCUUGUUUGUGUACUUUGGGUUUAUUCGAGAAGAAAAUAAUCUUGAUAAAAUUUUAAAACGCCCGCUGUAUGAUACCUUUCCCUAUCUUGAACAACAGAAUUUGGAGGACAUAAUUAGCACCUUGCAGGGCGAAGGAAAGGAUACCACAGAGUAUGAGGAAGAGCUCUUAAAAGUGCAGAAAAAAGCUGCAGCCAUGAAAAAGUGAUUGCUUGAACUAAAGACAGUUAAAGAUGUAAAAAUAAUUAAACUAUGUCUUCAAUAAUAAUUUGUUAAAUAACCAACAAUGCCUCAUGAAAAUACUGGUGAUACUGGGGAUUAAGCAGAAAUGCAGGGGGGGGGAGGGCAAUUUUUAUGCCCACUUUGUUAAAAUAUUUAGCGCCACUUUUAUUUUGUAUGCCCACACCCUUUUUUGUUUGCUCACAUGAGCACAAUGUGGUCAUGGUGAGCUUUUGUAAUCGCCUUUUGUUCGUUGUGCGGCGUCAAAAUUUGCUUUGUUGACACCCUAGAGGCCACAUUUAUUAUCAGAUUUUUAUGAACUUUGGUCAGAAAAUUAGUCUCAAUGAUAUCUUGGAUGAGUUUGAAAAUGGUUACAGUUGCUUGAAAAACAUGGCCGCUAGGGGGCGGGGAAUUUUUCCUUAUAUGGCUAUAUAUGGCAAUAGUAAAAUCUCGUUAACACUGAAGAGGCCACAUUUAUUGACAGAUCUUCAUGAAACUUGGUCAGAAGAUUCGUCCCAAUGAUAUCUUGGACAAGUUUGAAAAUGAUUCAUGCCAAGUGGCAUGCCAUUUUUCCUGAUAUGGCUAUAGGAAAACCUUGUCAACACUCUAGUGGCCAUACUUAUUUUCCGAUCUUCAUGAAACUUGGUCAAAACAUACGUCCUCUGACAUCUUGGAUGAGUUCGAAAAUGGUUCUUGUCUGUGAAAAAACAUGACCACUACUGACUAUGGGGCGGGACAUUUAUUCUAAUAUGGCUAUAUAUGGCUAUAGUAAAACCUUGUUUACACUCUUGAGGCCGCAUUUUUUGUUCCAUCUUCAUGAAACUUGGUCAGAAGAUAUGUCCUAAUGAUAUCUUGAACGAGUUAGAAAAUGGUACUGGUUGGUUGAAAAACAUGGCUGCAUUCGGACGGGGCAUUUUUCCUUAUAUAGCUAUGGUAAAAACUUAAUUAAAUACAAAGGCUCAAGUA